rnacentral:tRNA from 1 species
GGUAUAGCUCAAGUGGUAGAGCACCUGCUUAGCAUGCACAACGUCCUGGGUUCAGUUCCCAGUAAUGCCA